GCGGGUAUAGCUCAGCUGGUAGAGCGCGACCUUGCCAAGGUCGAGGUCACCGGUUCGAACCCGGUUACCCGCUCCA
rnacentral:tRNA from 1 species